AUGGUCCGCACGAUGACCGAAGGCAUCGUGAAUAGGUUUUUGAGGUCCGCGAAGGCCGAGAUGCUUCAAAAGAACGAGACGGAGAUAAGAUGUCCGUGUCGAAGAUGCAAGCUGAAUAGCCUUAUUGCGGACCCGGAUCCCGGCAGGUGCGGGACCACCUGCUCUUGCGUGGUUUCAUGGAUGGCUAUUGGUGGCAAGGUGAUGAAGAUGACUAAGAAGUCGUCCAUGGAAGCCGGGCAAGAAAUGAGGAAGGGCAGCAAGACAACCACCGCGGCUCGGGCGGGCGAGAAGACGAAGAAUCCCCAGGAGAUGAUCACGACGGUGAUGCUGUACACAGUCAUCAUGUAG
rnacentral:rRNA from 1 species